rnacentral:rRNA from 1 species
GACGAACGCUGGCGGCGUGCCUAAUACAUGCAAGCCGAACGCUAAGUCCCUGCGCUUGUGGUGUGCCAGAGUGGCGAACGGUUCAUAAACACGAGGGUAACCAGCCUUUACAUGUGGGAUAACUUCGGGAAACUGGGGUAAUUACCCGAUAGGAUCUCCUGAUGCAUGUUUGGGGAUUGAAAGCUUCGGCGGUGGGGGAUGGACUCGCGGCUUAUCAGCUUGUUGUUGGGGUGGUGGCUUACCAAGGGUUUGACGGGUAUCAGGCCUGAGAGGGGGACCGGCCACAUUGGGCCUGAGAUACGGGCCGGACUACUAAGGGAGGCAGCAGUGGGGAAUAUUGCACAAUGGGCGGAUGCCUGAUGCAGCAACGACGCGUGCGGGAUGACGGCCUUCGGGUGGUAAACCGAUUUCACCUGUGACGAAGCCUGGGUGACGGUACUGGGUAAAGAAGCACCGGCUAACUACGUG